GAAUGCGAUCAUACCGGCACUAAUUCACUGGAUCCCAUCAGAACUCCGCCAAAAGCGUGAUUGGGCAAGAGUAGUACUAGGAUGGGUGACCUCUAGCGAAGUCCUCAUGUUGCAUCCC